rfam:Nicotiana attenuata strain TT scaffold04850, whole genome shotgun sequence.
CAAAUGGUUUUGAGCAAAACCACCAAAAAUAAAAAUAAAAAUUUUU